rnacentral:lncRNA from 1 species
CACAACCAUCCAACCACACCCCUAUUAGAAGGCAUGUGGGUAUUUUCGAUAUAUUCUAGUUUCAACUUCACCUUCGAUAUAUUUCUAAACUUUUGCCGAGGGUAACCUUUUCUUUUCUCUAUAUUCAAGUGAUAGGACACCUAGAGUUUUAGAAAUUAUGUCUAGGUAAAUUUUUACUUAUGGAUGUGAAGAGAUCCACGAUUAUGGUUAAGAGGUUACAAGACUCUUUUCCAUAACUCAAUCAACUUGUUACUCAUCCCG